UUUUUAAAAGCUUCAACCGAGACUGCAGAACGUAAGACAAUAGGAAGGGCGUUCCACAGGUAUGGAGCCAACGCUUCA